AUUGAACGCUGGCGGCAGGCCUAACACAUGCAAGUCGAGCGAGCGGCGGACGGGGGAGUAAUGUCUGGGAAACUGCCUGAUGGAGGGGGAUCACUACUGGAAACGGUAGCUAAUACCGCAUACCAUCAGAUGUGCCCAGAUGGGAUUAGCGAGUAGGUGGGGUAACGGCUCACCUAGGCGCCGAUCCCUAGCUGGUCUGUGAGGAUGACCAGCCACACUGGAACUGAGACACGGUCCAGACUCCUACGGGAGGCAGCAGUGGGGAAUAUUGCACAAGGGGCGCAAGCCGGAUGCAGCCAUGCCGCGUGUGUGAAGAAGGCCGUCGGGUUGUAAAGCACUUUCAGCGGGGAGGCGUUACCCGCAGAAGAAGCACCGGCUAACGCCGUGCCAGCAGCCGCGGUAAUAC
rnacentral:rRNA from 1 species